rnacentral:rRNA from 1 species
GACGAACGCUGGCGGCGUGCUUAACACAUGCAAGUUGAGCGGAAAGGCCCUUCGGGGUACUCGAGCGGCGAACGGGUGAGUAACACGUGAGUAAUCUGCCCUUCACUCUGGGAUAGCCACCGGAAACUGUGAUUAAUACCGGAUACGACCAAUCCCUGCAUGGGGUGUUGGUGGGAACUUUUGUGGGAGGGGGAUGUGCUCGCGGCCUAUCAGAUUGUUGGGGGGGUAAUGGCCUACCAAGGCUUCGACGGGUAGCCGGCCUGAGAGGGCGACCGGCCACACUGGGACUGAGACACGGCCCAGACGCCUACGGGAGGCAGCAGUGGGGAAUAUUGCACAAUGGGCGAAAGCCUGAUGCAGCGACGCCGGGUGAGGGAUGACGGCCUUCGGGUUGGAAACCUCUUUCAGCAGGGAAGAAGCGAAAGUGACGGUACCUGCAGAAGAAGCACCGGCUAACUACGUGCCAGCAGCCGCAGUAACAC